rnacentral:tRNA from 1 species
UAGAUGGAAGCCCGCUGGCUUGGGUAUUUAGCUGUUAAUUAAAUCUUGCGGGAUCAAGGCCCGCCUGUCUAG